rnacentral:sRNA from 1 species
AACCAAGGAAGCCCAUUUCAAUAAAAGGGGGGGGGAGGGAGGACAACAAUAUAAAAAAUUUAAAAAAUUUUUUUGGAGAUGAAAAAUUGCGGCAGGAAGGCAAGGAGCUUUGAUGAUGGUCAAGUUAAAAGAGAAGAGAAAUCUUCAAGGGGAAAGAAAUUCUUUUUGCUUCUUUGCACACAACCUCUAGCAACCAAAGAAUCCACCAAUUACACCUCAUUAGGAAAUUGAUAACAACACGUAUACAAGCUAUCUAGGGGACGCGAUCAAUAUACUGCUAUCAACAAAUGGAACUUACAAUACGGGAAUCCAAUUAUCUACUAGCAAGCAAUCUAUACAAUCACUGAGGGCAGCUCUUAUAAAAAAGGGGGGCAGUUGUAAUGCACUUGUUUAUUAUUUCCUUAUUAUCUUCACUUAUUCUUACCUCUUUCCAUUAUACUCUCACUACCGCUAUUUCUAUAUGUAUAUAUAUAUCGAUGUAUGUAUUUCGCACAUCUUCUUUCUCUUUCUUUUCUUCCUUAGCGAUUAGCUACACUACACUACACUACACUAC